CUCGUAGGCGGUUCGUCGCGUCGGAAGUGAAAACCAGGAGCUUAACUCCUGGCCUGCUUUCGAUACGGGCGGACUUGAGUUCGGUAGGGGAGACUGGAACUCCUGGUGUAGCGGUGGAAUGCGCAGAUAUCAGGAAGAACACCGAUGGCGAAGGCAGGUCUCUGGGCCGAUACUGACGCUGAGGAGCGAAAGCGUGGGGAGCAAACA
rnacentral:rRNA from 1 species